GAUCAGGGAGUGUAGAGGCAUUUCCCAGGUGCAGAUGGUGUCCAAUGCUAAGCGAAGGUCAAAUUUCAGCUGCAAAAGUACCAAUUGAUAGCUCACUCCUCGGCCCCAGCAGAUGGCUAUUUUUUAAACUAGCUCAAUCUACUGUUGUUAACGCUCAGAAUGUAAUUCCUCACCAUUGACUCUAGAUGAAAUUGAUUUUACAAAGAAGAAAAAAAAAGCUAGGCCCGUGGGGUGCCUCAUAAUUGGUAAUUGCAGCCUUUAGGAGCCUUUGAUAGUGGCCUUGUAGCUGAUCUUCCUGAUGAGCACCUUAGAUAGGGCUGAAGGCUGGCCCUGUGGCCUCUCCUCAGCCUGUGCUCCUGCCAUUUUCUAUGGUUAGGGGUCUGUUCUCUGCUCCUAUUGGGCCUGGCACUAACAGGAUUCUUGUCAAAUGGAAAUGCAUCACCUCAUUAAUGAUCAAAUAUUUAUCAGAGCCUAUAAAGUGCUCUGGAGAGUCACUCGGUGACAAUGAUCCUGGUGUCAUGGUGCUUAUCUUCUGGUAGAGCAACAGAAAACUAGUAAAUACACAACAAAAGUGGAGUAAAUAUACAGGAGCCCAGCAAUGGCGUUGAGUGUGAAGAAUGUUCAGAGAAGGCCUCUCCGACAAGGUGAAUGGAAAAGAAUGAGGGAGUGAUCCACAGGCUAUGGGAUCUUAGACCCUCAGUUGCCUCUCAUGAAGGCAAAAGUUAAGGACACCAACUCCAGGAAGCUAUUAUGAGUUCUCAUAAUGCAUGAGAUCUGCUUUGUGUAUCCGAAGCCAUUAUGAAAGUGUGAUGUUUAUCUCUCCUUAUUGGCCAGGCUGGAACCUGCACUAGGCCCCCAGCCAGGUGCUCAUCAGUGCCCUCCAAGGGACCAUGUUUCAUGUAGGAAAGUGCAUCCACCAACUAAAGGAAGAAUUUUCUAAGAGAACACACACAAAUCACCUUCCCUGGCAAAGUGAAGUGUUGAGAAAUGCACUUUGAGAGGCAUUAUUUUAAAAAUUAGUAAAUAAAUAAACAGGUACCCAAUAAACAGAAGUACUUUCUCCCAUUAGUACUUUAAAAGCUGGAGGUUCUGGGAAAAUAGCCAGGUGGCAAUAGCAGGUAGUUGAAAAUGGUACCUGGGGGUCAAGUGGUUCCAGAAUAUAGCUUUUGAAGUAUGAACCACCUAGGAGGAAAUCCUACUUCUUCAUCCACUGCAUCUGGAAAGUUCUAUAACUUGGAGCAAAUAUGGCUGCUAUUAUCUUGAGCCUCAGUAAUCCUGUACUCCCCCAUGGAAACAGUGAACAUUACAUGGAACACUUAGACUUCCCUCCUCUCUGAGAAUACCUUAUUUCCUCCAGGAUAGAAAUAAAUUCAGACUUUGAAUUCUUCUUCUCUGUAUUCCAAAUUGUCAUCCAGCACCUGUCACCUCCACUAAACUGGUAGCUCUUUCCAGCCUCUAUAUCUGGCAGAUAGUAAACAAAUAUGGGCUGUUAUUAAAAGCCAAGAGCUGGUGAAUAAUUGCCUCAGUUCCAGGAGGUCUUGGGUUCCAGAGCUUUCUCUUCUAAUAACUGAUGCUGUCACCUUGGGCCUGGGUGCUGUCACUUGUAAAAUAAAGAGGUGAAUGUGUCAAAAUGACCACACAAAGUCCUCUCACCUGAAGCUGAUUGGUGUAUAUAUUGGGCCCUGCAGAUGCAAGGAAUAAAGAUAUUAUAGCAAGUUAAGCUAAUUGCGAUAGUAAAUAGCCAGGGAUUUCUUUCUUGACUGAAUUCACUAGAGCCCAAACUGCUGUCACCAAUUGCUGUUUCAGUUUCAUUUGAAGAUUAUGUUAUUUUUCUGCUCUUCCCCUACUUCCUUUUGGCCAAGAAAGGAAUAUGCAAACAAUGAGAUAUUGUGCUCUGUUGCAGGCCUCACUCUCCCAUCUGCCUUAUAACCAAGGGGAAGCAUUUGCAAGAUGACUGACAGUGAAUCAGAGAUGGAGAGUCAGGGGUGCUCUCUGGGCCCAAGAAACCAAGAGGAGCCACUGGUGCUCUGAGCCACAGUACCAGCCAGUGACAGAAUUCAUCAAAGCCUCCCCAGUUCCCUCCUGGAACAGAGGCAAUGGGGAGAGAAAAGGCUUCAUGUUAUGUAAACCUGGGUUUGAAUCGCUAUUCUGUGACUUGUUAGCCUUGCUUUUUCAUCUGCAAAAUUAGGGUAAUGGAUAACAAUAAAGCUGUGUUUCAAGUUUUUAUGUGAAAUAAAAUGAGAAGAUACAGAUAAAGAUGUUAACACAUAAUGAAUAAUCAACCAA